GAGAAGAGAAGAGAACGGUACAGGUCGAGCGGCGCACUGGGAAUGGAUGGUAGGCUACACCACGGGAUUGCACGGGAGAGAGCUGACAGCACAGGUGCAAGCGGGGCAAAUUCAAAGGAUACA
rnacentral:SRP_RNA from 1 species